rnacentral:rRNA from 1 species
GAUGAACGCUGGCGGCGUGCCCAAUACAUGCAAGUCGAGCGAACGGACGAGAAGCUUGCUUCUCUGAUGUUAGCGGCGGACGGGUGAGUAACACGUGGAUAACCUACCUAUAAGACUGGGAUAACUUCGGGAAACCGGAGCUAAUACCGGAUAAUAUUUUGAACCGCAUGGUUCAAAAGUGAAAGACGGUCUUGCUGUCACUUAUAGAUGGAUCCGCGCUGCAUUAGCUAGUUGGUAAGGUAACGGCUUACCAAGGCAACGAUGCAUAGCCGACCUGAGAGGGUGAUCGGCCACACUGGAACUGAGACACGGUCCAGACUCCUACGGGAGGCAGCAGUAGGGAAUCUUCCGCAAUGGGCGAAAGCCUGACGGAGCAACGCCGCGUGAGUGAUGAAGGUCUUCGGAUCGUAAAACCCUGUUAUUAGGGAAGAACAUAUGUGUAAGUAACUGUGCACAUCUUGACGGUACCUAAUCAGAAAGCCACGGCUAACUACGUG